UCCCUGGUGUUCCAGUGGUUAGGACUCAGCACUUUCACUGCUGAGGCCUGGGUUCGAUCCCUGAUCAGGGAA
rfam:Ovis aries breed Texel chromosome 1, whole genome shotgun sequence.